rnacentral:lncRNA from 1 species
GUAGUGAAUAAGUAAGUCUCACAAGAUCUGAUGGUUUUAUGAGAGGAAACCCCUUUCUCUUGGUUCUCAUUUUCUCUCUUGCCUGCUUCCAUGUAAGACAUGCCUUUCACCUUCUGCCGUGGUUAUGAGGCCACCCCAGCCGCGUGGAACUGUGAGUCCAUUAAAUCUUUUUCUUUAUAAAUUACCCAGUCUUGGGUAUACCUUUAUCAGCAGCAUGAAAGCAGACUAAUACAUCAUGUUAUUUCCACUCGUAUAACAGCAACAACAACAAAAAGCCUCAUUGAUUUAAUUAACCAUCUUUCUUAAAAAUUACAUACCAAUAUUGACCCAAGAUUUUAGCAUAAGAGCUCUAAGGAAAAGUAGUGAAAGUUUGUAGGUAUAGUUAUAAGUAUUGUAGCUUUGCCAUUUGCUAUUUGCAAAAGUCAUUUAACUUGCUCUUCACUUUGGUUUCUUCUGUAACCUGGGCAUGAUACGUACUCUGCCUGUGCUACAUUUUUGUUUUUGUUUUUGUUUUGUUUUGUUUUUUAAAGAAAAUGGUAUCUGUUAAAUAUAUAAACCAUAAAAUACUACCUAAGUGAAAGAUGGUAUUAAUGUUGGAUUUGAGAUCCAAGAUUUUUUGAGACGGAAUUUCACUUUGUCACCAAGGCUAGAGUGCAGUGGAGCAGUCUUGGCUCACUGCACCUCUGCCUCCCAAAUUCAAGCAAUUCUCCUGGCUCAGCCUCCUGAGUAGCUGGGACUACAGGCAAGCAUCACCACCACCACCAUGACAGGUGAAUUUUUGUAUUUUUUGUAGAGAUGGGAUUUCACUGUUUUGACCAGGCUGGUCUUGAACUCCUGACCUCAAGUGAUUCACCCGCCUCUGCCUCCCAAACUUCUGGGAUAACAGGUGUGAGCCACCAUGUCCGGUCAGCUUUUAAUUUCUUAGGCAAAGCAUGAAAAUAGCUAAUAAUUAUUUUUGGAUACAGCACUCUUAAAUGCCUGGAAGUAAGAAACUAAAAAGAAGCAUAUCUUCUAGGGCUUUGGUUGAAGAGCUUUGGAUUUCUUAAUCCUGCUUUAGGUGCAGAUGGGUUGGAUUGGUUCAUUCCAGUAGGAAACACUGUUGCUGUACUUCUGAGGUGUCAGGCACACUCAUAGUGAGUGCAUCUGUUAGCUACUGCGGUGUAACAAACUGAUCAAAAAUUUGAUGGCUGGAAACCCCAACCAUUUAUUUUGCUCAAAAUUUUAGAGGAAAUGAGGCGCAGCUUAACUGAGUGGUUUUGCUCUUGGCUGGGUUCUCAGUGUCAGCUACAGGUUGGCUAUGAGGUUCAACUUCUGGGGUUAGCUAAAUAACAGAAGGGCAGGGGUGGUAAAUGGUGGAGCUAAGCUCUCCCUAUGGUAUUUGAUCCUAUAGCCAUGGUAGCUUGGGCUUGUUCUAAUGGAGAUGGCAAGUGUAGAGGAGAGAAAGCAGAGGUGUUCAAGGUGGCAAGGCCAAGUCUCGGAACUAGCACUUCGUUAUGCUUCUGCCACACCAGAUUGGCCAGAACUAAUCACAGAGCCAGACCAAAGUCAAGGGGUGGGAAAUGGAAUCCACCUACUGAUAAGAGGAGCUGUGAAAUUGGGUAAAAAUGGGAUACAGGGGCUGGGCACGGUGGCUCACGCCUGUAAUCCCAGCACUUUGGGAGGCUGAGGUGGGCAGAUCAUGAGGUCAGGAGUUGGAGACCAUCCUGGUUAACAUGGUGAAACCCCAUCUCUAAUAGAAAUACAAAAAAAAAAAAAAUUGCCAGGUGUGGUGGUGUGUGUGUGUAGUCCCAGCUACUCUGGAGGCUGAGGUAGGAGAAUGGCAUGAACCUGGGAGGCAGAGCUUGCAGUGAGCCAAGAUUGCACCACUGCACUCCAGGCUGGGCGACAGAGCGAGACUCUGUCUAAAAAAAAAAAAAAAAAAGAAAAAAAAAA